rnacentral:tRNA from 1 species
GGGGUGUAUAAACAAUUAAAACUGCUAAUUUUAACCCUCUAAAGAUAAAAUCCUUAGACCCCUUA